rnacentral:rRNA from 1 species
AUGGUACUACUCCAAGACAAUCUAUUUUUCAUUUGGCAUGAUGCUUCCGGAAACAUCCGCCUCUUCUUAAUUUUUCUGUGCAUAGCUACUAUGACCACACUCCUGUACCUCAUGAGCCGUUCACGCACAGUAUACAUUGUUGAUUAUGCGUGUUUCCGGCCUGACUCGAACUACCGCAUCAGCAAGGCCGCAUGGAUUGAGAACAUUCACCAUUCUCGGUCCUGCGACGACAGCGGCCAUCUGCGCUUCUUGACCCGUAUUUCUGAACGGUCAGGCCUUGGUGAUGAGACCUACCUCCUGGCUUGCCAUCAUCAUAUCCCACCAUAUUACUGUUUAAGUGAAGCCCGUGCUGAAGCGGAGUUGUCCAUCUUCACGACCAUAGAUGACCUUCUCGUGAAGACGUCUAUCAACCUUAAUGCAAUCGCCAUACUCAUCGUGAACUGCAGCAUCUUCAGCCCAACUCCGUCCCUCGCUGAUAUGAUCAUGAGAAGAUAUAAGCUUCGAGAUAAUAUUUGCAACGUGCAACUGUCUGGGAUGGGCUGCAGCGCAGGGCUAAUCGCCAUGGGUCUUGCGAAGGACCUUCUGCAGAACUUUCCCUCUAGCGCGCAUGCGCUGGUUGUGUCCACAGAGAUCUUGACUGGGACCUACUACACUGGGAGGAAGCGCGAAAUGCAGCUGACCAACAUGUUAUUCCGCAUGGGUGGCUCGGCGGUGCUCCUCUCAACAUCGAGUGACAAAGCUCGUUUUGAGGUGGCGAACGUAGUUCGGAAUUGUACCAGCUCCCAGGACAAUGCAUACCGAUGUGUAUCUUAUGAGGAAGAUGACGAGGGAAUUCUUGGUCUCAAUUUAUCCAAGGACCUUGUGGAUGUCGCUGGCAAGGCUCUCGGGGCUAACAUCACCACGGUUGGACCGCUUAUUCUCCCAUUGUCAGUCAAGAUUGCAUUUUUGCUCUCGUUCAUCUCACGAAAGGUGCUAAGUGGAACCAUGAAGCCAUAUGUGCCUGAUUUCCGCAAAGCUUUCGAGCAUAUGUGCGUACAUGCAGGUGGUCGAGCGGUAAUCGAUGCUGUGCAGCGUAGCCUCGGCCUGCUUGAUGAGCAUGUUGAGCCAUCAAGGAUGACACUUCACAAGUUUGGGAACACAUCGAGUAGCUCGGUAUGGUACGAGCUGGCGUACAGUGAGGCCAAGGGCCGAAUGAGGAAAGGGGACCGAGUUUGGAUGAUUGGAUUUGGCUCUGGAUACAAGUGUAAUAGUGCAGUGUUAAAGUGCACCCAGCCAGCAAAAAGUGCUGAUAAGGCAUGGCAAGAUUGCAUCAAUCGCUACCCGAUAGAUGUUCCUAAGGAGGUGUAG